rnacentral:rRNA from 1 species
UACGUAGGGUGCAAGCGUUGUCCGGAAUUAUUGGGCGUAAAGAGCUCGUAGGCGGUUCGUCACGUCGGCUGUGAAAACCUGAGGCUCAACCUCAGGCCUGCAGUCGAUACGGGCGGACUUGAGUACUGCAGGGGAGACUGGAAUUCCUGGUGUAGCGGUGAAAUGCGCAGAUAUCGGGAAGAACACCCGUGGCGAAGGCGGCUCUCUGGGACGGUACUGACGCUGAGACGCGAAAGCGUGGGGAGCGAACAGG